AUGAGCUGCUCGGGGAAGGCGGCGGACGGCGCGAUGGGGAGCAAGGCGGCGCGGGCGUGCGACGGCUGCCUGCGGCGGCGGGCGAGGUGGUACUGCGCGGCGGAUGACGCGUUCCUGUGCCAGGGGUGCGACACGUCGGUGCACUCGGCGAACCCUCUCGCGCGGAGGCACGAGCGGGUGCGCCUGCGGCCCACGUCGCCGCUGCUCCCUGGUGCGGCCCCGCGGGAGAGGCGCCGCGGCGACGAGGUCGUGCCGGCGUGGUUCAAGCGCAAGGCGCGGACCCCGCGCUCGCAGGCCAAGAGCGUCGGGCGUCUCCUCUCGAGGCGGCUCGUCGUGCCGGAGGCGUCUGGCGGGGACUCGCCGGAGGAGCAGAAGUGUGACGUGGAGACCGACGAGGAGGAGCUGCUGUACCGCGUGCCCAUCUUCGACCCCGCCCUCGCGGAGCUCUGCUCGCCGCUGACUCUCGAGGAAGCGACGACGGCCGUCGCGUCAUGCUGCAAUGAGGAUGGUGCCAUCGUCGAGGACCCGACAAAGCCAGCUGCGACGCCGACUCCGGCGCCGGUUCAGUUCUUCUCCGACAGCCUCGUAAACUUGGGCCCGACGGACGCCGAGCUCAUGGAGUUCGCCGCGGACAUGGAGGCCCUUCUUGGCCGGCCGGGCAUGGACGACGGCGACGAGGAGGAACCGUUCUGCAUGGAGGCAUUGGGCCUCAUCGAGCCGAUGGACGUAGACGGCGGGCGAGUCAAGCUGGAGAUCGACCCCAUGCGAGCGUGCGGCCUCGAGCAGAAGCCGGAGGUGUCCGGCGAUAUGUUCGACAUCGACUUCGACUACGACUCGCCGCUGGGGACACCGGACGAGAACGCUGCAAGCAGCGGUGCCAGUGCGGACGCCCAGUUCACCCCGAGGAGCCUCGCGCUCAAUCUAAACUACGAGGCCAUCAUGGAGAACUGGGGGAGCUCGCCGUGGGCCGACGGCGAGAGGCCGCACGUCAAGCUCGAUGACUGCUGGCCACACGACUACUACUCGCUGCAGGAGGGCGCUUGGAUGAUGGGAGGAGUGGUUGGCCAUGGCGGGGAGGGGUUGGGGACGCCGAGGCUGAGGAUGGACGGCGGCAGGGAGGCGCGGGUGUCGCGGUACCGGGAGAAGCGGCGGACGCGGCUCUUCUCAAAGAAGAUCCGGUACGAGGUGCGCAAGCUCAACGCCGAGAAGCGGCCGCGGAUGAAGGGCCGCUUCGUCAAGCGGGCCAACGGCGCCGGAGGCGGCGUGCCCGUCGCCAUCGCCACGGCGUGCGUCGCGUAG
rnacentral:rRNA from 1 species